CGGGACACGUGGUAUCCUGUCUGAAUAUGGGGGGACCAUCCUCCAAGGCUAAAUACUCCUGACUGACCGAUAGUGAACCAGUACCGUGAGGGAAAGGCGAAAAGAACCCCGGCGAGGGGAGUGAAAAAGAACCUGAAACCGUGUACGUACAAGCAGUGGGAGCACGCUUAGGCGUGUGACUGCGUACCUUUUGUAUAAUGGGUCAGCGACUUAUAUUCUGUAGCAAGGUUAACCGAAUAGGGGAGCCGAAGGGAAACCGAGUCUUAACUGGGCGUUAAGUUGCAGGGUAUAGACCCGAAACCCGGUGAUCUAGCCAUGGGCAGGUUGAAGGUUGGGUAACACUAACUGGAGGACCGAACCGACUAAUGUUGAAAAAUUAGCGGAUGACUUGUGGCUGGGGGUGAAAGGCCAAUCAAACCGGGAGAUAGCUGGUUCUCCCCGAAAGCUAUUUAGGUAGCGCCUCGUGAAUUCAUCUCCGGGGGUAGAGCACUGUUUCGGCAAGGGGGUCAUCCCGACUUACCAACCCGAUGCAAACUGCGAAUACCGGAGAAUGUUAUCACGGGAGACACACGGCGGGUGCUAACGUCCGUCGUGAAGAGGGAAACAACCCAGACCGCCAGCUAAGGUCCCAAAGUCAUGGUUAAGUGGGAAACGAUGUGGGAAGGCCCAGACAGCCAGGAUGUUGGCUUAGAAGCAGCCAUCAUUUAAAGAAAGCGUAAUAGCUCACUGGUCGAGUCGGCCUGCGCGGAAGAUGUAACGGGGCUAAACCAUGCACCGAAGCUGCGGCAGCGACGCUGAUGCGUUGUUGGGUAGGGGAGCGUUCUGUAAGCCUGUGAAGGUGUGCUGUGAGGCAUGCUGGAGGUAUCAGAAGUGCGAAUGCUGACAUAAGUAACGAUAAAGCGGGUGAAAAGCCCGCUCGCCGGAAGACCAAGGGUUCCUGUCCAACGUUAAUCGGGGCAGGGUGAGUCGACCCCUAAGGCGAGGCCGAAAGGCGUAGUCGAUGGGAAACAGGUUAAUAUUCCUGUACUUGGUGUUACUGCGAAGGGGGGACGGAGAAGGCUAUGUUGGCCGGGCGACGGUUGUCCCGGUUUAAGCGUGUAGGCUGGUUUUCCAGGCAAAUCCGGAAAAUCAAGGCUGAGGCGUGAUGACGAGGCACUACGGUGCUGAAGCAACAAAUGCCCUGCUUCCAGGAAAAGCCUCUAAGCAUCAGGUAACAUCAAAUCGUACCCCAAACCGACACAGGUGGUCAGGUAGAGAAUACCAAGGCGCUUGAGAGAACUCGGGUGAAGGAACUAGGCAAAAUGGUGCCGUAACUUCGGGAGAAGGCACGCUGAUAUGUAGGUGAAGUCCAUCGCGGAUGGAGCUGAAAUCAGUCGAAGAUACCAGCUGGCUGCAACUGUUUAUUAAAAACACAGCACUGUGCAAACACGAAAGUGGACGUAUACGGUGUGACGCCUGCCCGGUGCCGGAAGGUUAAUUGAUGGGGUUAGCGCAAGCGAAGCUCUUGAUCGAAGCCCCGGUAAACGGCGGCCGUAACUAUAACGGUCCUAAGGUAGCGAAAUUCCUUGUCGGGUAAGUUCCGACCUGCACGAAUGGCGUAAUGAUGGCCAGGCUGUCUCCACCCGAGACUCAGUGAAAUUGAACUCGCUGUGAAGAUGCAGUGUACCCGCGGCAAGACGGAAAGACCCCGUGAACCUUUACUAUAGCUUGACACUGAACAUUGAGCCUUGAUGUGUAGGAUAGGUGGGAGGCUUUGAAGUGUGGACGCCAGUCUGCAUGGAGCCGACCUUGAAAUACCACCCUUUAAUGUUUGAUGUUCUAAC
rnacentral:rRNA from 1 species